UGUUAGAAAUUUCAUCCAUUUUUGCUAUUAAAUGAUGACAUGACUGGCAGAGCAACCAAACAAUAACAUGUUUGUGUGCUAUGUGCACCUCAUGCUGAUGUGGAAAGACUCAUUCAAGCAAAAUUGAUGGAUUUUUUAGCAGAAGAAAUGGAUAGAAUUUUUAAUA
rfam:Gossypium hirsutum cultivar TM-1 chromosome 17, whole genome shotgun sequence